UAAGUACUCCCUCCAUCCAAUAAAGGAUGUCUCAACUUUAACCAAAUUUGAAUGCAUCUAUACACUAGGUAAUGUCUAGAUACAUUCAAAUUUUAAAAAACUUGAGACAUCUUUGUUGGGCGGAGAAAGUAGGUU
rfam:Brachypodium distachyon strain Bd21 chromosome 3, whole genome shotgun sequence.